rnacentral:lncRNA from 1 species
GGAUAAAAGAGGACAUUACUGUAUUACAAAUAACAUUACAAUAUAUAGAAUCAAGGAAGAAGCUCCUUAAUUACUUAUUCACUUCAUAUUACUACAUCAUUUAUAUAUUAAGGGCAGAAUAUAACGUCAUAGUUGGUUCCACCGGGGCACGUAAAUGUGCUACUUGGAUCAUCCUUAGGAUAACUAUAUGCAUCAGGACAUCUGGUCUUGAAAAACCUUGAUAAAUCAGUUGGUCCACAGUUUCCAGAGUUGCAACAAUACUGAUCAGUUCUGUACACGGUGCAAGGGUUAUUGCACCCAUCGGGAGCCCGUAACUCAGCAGGGCACUGGCCAUUGAUAUCUGCGGUACAUGAGAUACCACGGGUGCACCCAUUAGAGUUGGGUCUAAACACCAUCGGCACAUUGAAUCCAUCCACAAGAGAAAUGUCAAAGAAAUCAAGAUUGUUGUACUGAUUCAGAGCGUACUCGGCUAAUGUGUUGGGUGGUGUACCAUAGCCUUGGCAUUGGAGGAGUCCAUUGCAAUCACCGGUCUGACACCUGCCACGCCCUGAGCCAUCAAAGUUGCAACCGGUUCGGGGCCAUAUACGGGCUCCUGCUGUGCCGGCUGCAACGGUUAAAGACCAGGUUUGGCCCGAGUUAAGUUGUCGGCCGCCACCAGGCACCGCACCGGCCCAAAUGGUGCGUCGACAAUUGUUUCGGAUAUUGAAAACGGCUGCAUUGGUGGAAUGACAUUACUGUAUUACAAUAUA